GCAACUCAGUGAGACCCUGUCUCUAAAUAAAAAAUAAAAAUAGGGCUGGGGAUGUGGCUCAGUGGUUGAGUGCCCCUGAGUUCAUUCCUGGUAUCCCCCUCCCACCCAAAAUAAAAUUGGGCCCAACCCCAGAUUAUGUUGGUGGGGUGGGACCUGGGCAUUUGUGGAUUUUUUUUUUUUUUUUUUAGCUCCUCUGAUGAAUCUAAUAUGCAGUAAGAAACUAGUUAUCACUGCUCUUUAUACCAGAGGUCCACAAACUAAUAGCUCCAGCUAUCCAUAUUGCUGUGAUCAUUCCUUUUUGAAUUGUUUAUGGCUACUUUUGUGCAAAACUGGCAGAAUAAUGACAGAAACUGUAUAUCCUUCAAAGCCUAAAAUUUUUACUCUUAAGCCCUUUAUAGGAAGAGUUUGCCUACUAUUGCUCGUGAGCCCCAAUAUCACUUUCUUCAGACUUUGUUUUAGAGUUCAGGAAAUGAAAAGCAAUUCCAGGCCUUUGGGUAAAAGAGAAUUGAUGAUACCCUUUAUCCCUAUAUUUAUGUGUCAUAUACGUGUUACAGGUAUGAGGAGCCCUUCCUUUGCCACCCCAAACAAUUCCCUGAUUUUUGUCAACACUGUUCUGAUUCCAACUAAAUUUUGCUAAAUUUAGUUGAUUAAAAAACAAACAAACAAAAAACCUGAAAUGGCAAAUACUUACUGAAACUAAAUUCAACACAAUGCAGCAAGCAUCUAACUUCCCUUUAAUAUGGUGCAUAUACUUUGAUGCAUAUCUUUUGAGGCUUUUUUGGUUUUGUUUUGGUACUGGAGAUUGAACCUAAGGGUACUUUACCACUGCAUUCCAUCUGCAGUCCUUUUAUUUAUUUUUAAUUUUGAGACAGAAUUUUGCUAAGUUGCUAAGUGGCUUUGAACUUGCAACCCUCCUGCCUCAGCUUCCUGAGUAGCUGGGAUUACAGGCAUGUGCCUCUGUGCCUGGCUCCUUGAGACCUUUCAAUGGCAGAGUUUUUUUCCCCCUAAGUUUGAUUUUUUAAAAUUUUAUUCUUUUAUCUGUGGAAGAGAAGGUUGGGCCAG
rnacentral:lncRNA from 1 species